rnacentral:rRNA from 1 species
AUUGAACGCUGGCGGCAUGCUUUACACAUGCAAGUCGAACGGUAACAGGUUAAGCUGACGAGUGGCGAACGGGUGAGUAAUGCAUCGGAACGUGCCCGGUCGUGGGGGAUAACGCAGCGAAAGCUGCGCUAAUACCGCAUACGAUCUGAGGAUGAAAGCGGGGGACCGUAAGGCCUCGCGCGAUCGGAGCGGCCGAUGUCAGAGUAGGUAGUUGGUGGGGUAAAGGCUCACCAAGCCAACGAUCUGUAGCUGGUCUGAGAGGACGACCAGCCACGCUGGGACUGAGACACGGCGCAGACUCCUACGGGAGGCAGCAGUGGGGAAUUUUGGACAAUGGGCGAAAGCCUGAUCCAGCAAUGCCGCGUGCAGGAAGAAGGCCUUCGGGUUGUAAACUGCUUUUGUACGGAGCGAAAAGGUCUCCUCUAAUACAGGGGGCUCAUGACGGUACCGUAAGAAUAAGCACCGGCUAACUACGUGCCAGCCGCCGCCGCAG